rnacentral:rRNA from 1 species
UACGAAGGGGGCUAGCGUUGUUCGGAAUUACUGGGCGUAAAGCGCGCGCAGGCGGUUCUUUUAAGUCAGGGGUGAAAGCCCAGAGCUCAACUCUGGAAUUGCCUUUGAAACUAGAGAACUUGGGUACGGGAGAGGUGAGUGGAAUUCCGAGUGUAGAGGUGAAAUUCGUAGAUAUUCGGAAGAACACCAGUGGCGAAGGCGGCUCACUGGCCCGUUACCGACGCUCAGGCGCGACAGCGUGGGGAGCAAACGGG